UACGUAGGGUGCAAGCGUUGUCCGGAAUUAUUGGGCGUAAAGAGCUCGUAGGCGGUUUGUCGCGUCUGCUGUGAAAACUCGGGGCUUAACCCCGGGCCUGCAGUGGGUACGGGCAGACUAGAGUGCGGUAGGGGAGACUGGAAUUCCUGGUGUAGCGGUGAAAUGCGCAGAUAUCAGGAGGAACACCGGUGGCGAAAGCGGCUUCCUGGACCAGAACUGACGAUCAGGCUCGAAAGCUAGGGGGAGC
rnacentral:rRNA from 1 species